rnacentral:lncRNA from 1 species
GUCCAGAUACACCUGAAAGAAGAAUGACUCAAGCUGGGUGUGUAAAGCUACACUUUGGAGGAUAGAGCUUCCCACAGGUGCAAUGGAACUCUCACUUCUCACUUGCUCAGAAAUUAUGAUCUGCAGUGUGAGUCUCCCCUGGUAAGGAAACAUGUCCAGCUCCUUGAAACAUGUUCUAGAGAAUAGCAUUCAUUACCCUCCCAUGAACUUAAACAUGCUUCUUGGCUCCUGUGCAUUUUAGGUGUUGAAAUUUCCAGGAUGCAAAACGAAGGGGCAAUUCAAAACAUUCAUCUCCACUUCUCAAAAGUUUUCUUGGCUUGAUUGAUUUGGUGAGCUGAAAGAAAGACACUGCUUCAUCAGAAUUCAAACAACAGAAAACAUCUCCCAGGCCCCCUAGAAGAUGCCAAUCAAAAUAAACUGCAUUCUUGAGACACAGGGCAAGAAAUUAAAGCUAUCCACCUCCUCAAGGCCCAGGGACUACGUGGAAGAGACAUCGAGUCAUGAAUAUGGAAUGACUUCACCUGACUUCACUUGAAAUUCACUUAAUUUUCAACUCUGUUGGCUAUGAGAUUUCAAGAAGACUGGAUAUUGGAGAGAAUCAUAAUAAAUAAAAGGACAUCCAGGCCUCACACAAAAAUGGAUCAAUGAAUUGAAACUCACCAAAUCACCACCACCAGACAACGGGAUGCUGAGUCUCAUUCAUCAUGAUUGCUUCCUGAAGCCUUCUGAGUUCCUGUUUCCCUACACAUUGUUACAUUUCUUCCCUGCAACAUAAACCCCCAAUUUUAGUCCAUCAAGGUUAUAGAUUUGAGACUGAUCUCCCAUUUCCUUGGCUGCAACACCCAAUUAUAGCCUUCUUGGCAAUAAUUGUUGUCUCAGUGAUUGGCUUUCUUUGUGGCCAGCAGCAGGACCUAGACUGAACACCUGAUUUUCUGGUAACAGUAUAAUUUUUCUUCUUUUGUCUAUUGUGGUAGGUUACAUUGUUUGAUUUUUAAAUUAAACUGGCACUGCAUAGCUAGAGUAAAUGUGACUUUGUUGUGUUAAUUUUUAUAUGUUGUUGAAUUUGAUUUUCUUGUGUUAUGUUGAGAAUUUUACAUAUAUCUUUAUAAGAGAUAUUUGCUCGUAAUUAUCUUUUUGUAAAAUAUCUCUGUUUUUGCUAUGAAGGUUAUAAAAGUAAUUUUGGGAGUGCUCCCUAUUUUCUAUUAGAGAAUGAGGGAACUGGUACCAAUACUACCUUAAAUGUUCAAUAGAAUUCACAUUCGAAAUUAUCUAGGACUGGUUAUCUUUUGAGAAAAGUUGUUAAACAUUAUUCAGUGUCUUUAAUAGAUAUAGGCCUGUUCAGUUUAUCUAUUUCUCCCCAUGUGAUCAAUGGAAAUUUGUGUCUUUCACGUGAUUUUUCUAUUUCUUCUAAGUCAUCAACUUGUUGAUAUAAAGUUAUUCACAAUAUUCUUAUCCCUUCAAUGUUCAAAGAUUGUUAUUAAUAUUCAUGAAACUGGUAGUACUGAUCUUGCUUUCUUUUUUGAUAUUGUAUUGCACAUCUUUUCUCUUUUCAUGUUCAUUAAUUUGUGUGGAGGUUUAUCAAUUGUAUUCAUUUUAUUAAAGGACAAGUUUCUGGUUUUAUUAA